rnacentral:lncRNA from 14 species
ACUCACUCCGUUUUACCUGAUGCAAAAUCAAGUUGAUUUUCUUCUUCCUUCACCUGACCAAAUCACCUGCUCAAGCUGUAUGACUGUAUAACCAGGAAAAUACAGAAAGAACUUGUCAGGAGCUUGAAGAGAGAGAAAGCUUAUUUACCUGAAAAAGUCAUCCUGAAGACCCUUUUGUUCUGCUUGCACUCAGUGCAGAGCAGUAUCAUUCUUCUGUGUAGGACCUUUUAA